AAUAGAUACCCGGGUAGUCCACGCCGUAAACGUUGGAUACUAGGUGUGGCGGUCUACCAACGACUGCCGUGCCGAAGCUAACGCAUUAAGUAUCCCGCCUGGGGAGUACGGCCGCAAGGCUAAAACUCAAAGGAAUUGACGGGUCCCCGCACAAGCGGCGGAGCAUGCGGCUUAAUUCGAUGCAACCCGAAGAACCUUACCUGGGUUUGACAUCAUGGGAAAAGCCGUAGAAAUACGGUGUCCGAAAGGGCCCAUGACAGGUGGUGCAUGGCUGUCGUCAGCUCGUGUCGUGAGAUGUUGGGUUAAGUCCCGCAACGAGCGCAACCCUUGUCCUAUGUUGCCAGCGGUUCGGCCGGGGACUCAUAGGAGACUGCCGGGGAUAACUCGGAGGAAGGUGAGGACGACGUCAAGUCAUCAUGCCCCUUAUAUCCAGGGCUGCACGCAUGCUACAAUGGCCGGUACAACGGGAAGCGACCCCGCGAGGGUGAGCGAAUCCCUUAAAGCCGGUCCCAGUUCGGAUUGAAGUCUGCAACUCGACUUCAUGAAGCCGGU
rnacentral:rRNA from 1 species